rnacentral:rRNA from 1 species
UACGAAGGGGGCUAGCGUUGCUCGGAAUUACUGGGCGUAAAGCGCACGUAGGCGGAUUGUUAAGUCAGGGGUGAAAUCCUGGAGCUCAACUCCAGAACUGCCUUUGAUACUGAGGAUCUUGAGUACGGGAGAGGUGAGUGGAACUGCGAGUGUAGAGGUGAAAUUCGUAGAUAUUCGCAAGAACACCAGUGGCGAAGGCGGCUCACUGGCCCGUAACUGACGCUGAGGCGCGAAAGCGUGGGGAGCAAACAGG